rnacentral:rRNA from 1 species
UACGUAGGUGGCAAGCGUUAUCCGGAAUUAUUGGGCGUAAAGAGCUCGUAGGCGGUUUGUCGCGUCUGCUGUGAAAGCCCGGGGCUCAACCCCGGGUGUGCAGUGGGUACGGGCAGGCUGGAGUGCAGUAGGGGAGACUGGAAUUCCUGGUGUAGCGGUGAAAUGCGCAGAUAUCAGGAGGAACACCGAUGGCGAAGGCAGGUCUCUGGGCUGUUACUGACGCUGAUGUGCGAAAGCGUGGGGAUCAAACAGG